UGGGGAAUUUUGGACAAUGGGGGCAACCCUGAUCCAGCCAUCCCGCGUGUGCGAUGAAGGCCUUCGGGUUGUAAAGCACUUUUGGCAGGGAAGAAAUGGGCCGGGCGAAUAACCCGGCUCGAUGACGGUACCUGCAGAAUAAGCACCGGCUAACUACGUG
rnacentral:rRNA from 1 species